rnacentral:rRNA from 1 species
GACGUAGGGCGCGAGCGUUGUCCGGAUUUAUUGGGCGUAAAGAGCUCGUAGGCGGCUUGUCGCGUCGAAUGUGAAAUCUCAGAGCUCAACCCUGACAUUGCAUUCGAUACGGGCAGGCUAGAGUUCGGUAGGGGAGACUGGAAUUCCUGGUGUAGCGGUGAAAUGCGCAGAUAUCAGGAGGAACACCGAUGGCGAAGGCAGGUCUCUGGGCCGAUACUGACGCUGAGGAGCGAAAGCGUGGGGAGCGAACAGG